CUUUGGCUGGUUGUGCGCCUGUGCGAAAAAAGGCCUCGAUCCCUGGUUUGAGGACGCGUUUAGGAAAGUCUAGGGCGCCACCGCCCAGGGUCUGGGGUGCGCCAAGUGGGGAAGGUGUGGGGCUCCUCUUUGCGCCUACGGGCGAUGCCUGCGAGCGAUCGUCCCCGCCUCCUCGGGCCUCGGCGUUGACGGAAAUAGAAUGGGCGGCCCUGUGGGGCGUCCGCCGGGACCGCCGCAAGAGCCCUCAAGACCUUCCCAGCUGGACACCUGAGAUAUCGUCAGCAGUACCAGAUGCCUCAUCACCACCAACUCCAGCAGUCAGCUGCCCUCAGAGAUGGAAGAGAGGGCACGAGCAAGUGAGGUUCUGGUCCCCGCAGCACUCAAGAAUGGAACCAUGGGAACUAGCAUGCAGUGAGGAUGCUGGUGGCUACCUUCUGGCUCCCAGGUAUGGAGGGCUGUAACACUGUUAGGGAUGUGGCCCAAGACAAGGUGUGAUGUUUUCCACAAGUCACGGAGGUCUCCAACAUUAAUGCGAGGCUGCCUGGGCCAGAAGCUGUAUGUUGAUACUCUGACAACCGUGAACUGGUUCUUAAUCCACUUAGUGCAUUCUUAGUCCACUACUUUAGACGUGAGGAAAAUGUACAUCAUAGACAGGGGGCAUCGGGGCCCAAGUUCCCAUGGGUUAUAAUCAGAGGAACCUGAGCAAAUGCAGGUCAGCCUGACCUAUCUUGGGCCUAAGCUUUGACUCUUCUUCUUCCAUGUUGCAUUUUGCAUCCAGCUAGACACGUGCAUCUAUUUUAUGCAAGUUUGAAGCAUGUGGGUUUGGAAACCAGAUACAGAAGAAUGACUAACAUCUCAUUUGAUGCUGCCAAUUUGAAUCAGUGUCAAUGUUUCUCUUCACGUAGUUGGGAGGGAAUAAGUCUUGCAUCUCCCUAGUUGUGGAUGGUGAGGCCUGUAAGACUGCACCCCAUGGUUAGAGGCUUGCCUGUAUUUCACAAAAGACCCCCCUGGACAGUUUGAUUGUAUACAAGUGUGCUUGUCAAAGUGUAAGGGUACACUGCUUGGGGUGCAUUAAAUUCAACACAACCCAAGGAAAUCUUGAAGAGCUUUUAUUUACUUGUUAACUAACAAGUAAGGAACCAGGGAGAUAGCUCUCAAAACACUGCCUCCCAGUGGAGUUAGUACAGGAAGCAAUUAUUAAGUGUUUUAGGGGAUGGAGACAGGGAGCUUGCAUAUACAUUAAGGAACUUAUUCAUAUCCCAUUACUUAGCCACUUUGGUUCACUUUGUAUCUUGGUUUGCUGUCUUGAUGGGGUCAGAUUACUCCAUUGGGUUUGUGUCUUUUUAUACACUGGACACUCCAGAAUGUCUUCCCACUCUCCUUUUCUCUCCUGAUUCCAGCCCCUUGCUGUGCCCACCUUCUGAGCCUCAUAUCUUACCCUUUGCCUUUAUCCCCUCAUCUCUUUCUCUCAAGUCCUCCAACACCAGUCUCCCCUUACUGUGUCCUAACUUGGUCAAACGU
rnacentral:lncRNA from 1 species